ensembl:lncRNA
GUUUCACAGUUGCCUCCUGCAAGCUCACAGCAACCAGCACCAGCUGGCUUCAGCGCACAUCUAAAGGCUCCGUCCUGCAGCCUUCACUCCAUCAUUUCUGGGCUCUGCGCCUGGCCUGUCCUCCCAAGGUGCCCAGGUCCCGCUCCCCCAUGAAGCCUCUCUGACGGGUCCCUCCCGAGAGAACCGUCCCUCCUCAGGCUCACCACCCUAUCGUCUGUCCGGCACAGCAGAGCACUGCCCCUCAGGAUCACUGAGCAAAGCUGGCCGCCAUAUCGUGAGGAUACUCAGGCAACCAUGGAGAGACCCACAUGAGAAGCCCUGCCAAAAGCCUGCACGAAUUUGCCGGUCAUGUGAUUGAGUCAUCUUGGGAGGAGAUCCUCCAGCCCCAGUCAAGCCUUCAGGUCAAUGUAGCCCAAUCGGACGUAUGAUUGCAACCUCAUAAGAGACCCUGAACCAGAAAUGCCAGCUGAACUGCUCUCCCAUUCCUGACCCAUAGAAAUUGCAACAUAAUAAAAGUUGAUUAUUUU